AGAGUGGAGGCUCCUUUAAUCUUGACAGCCCGAAUGCUACAGGGGUCACAGCACAUCUGCUCCGGAGGAAAGACAAAGGGCAAGGUGGGGCCACGGUAGCCCGCGCGGGGCUCUUGGCGGGCUGGGGGCGGCGUGCGCCGAGCUGGGCGCGAGUGGAGGGGCCGGCGGCUUUGUGCGCCCCCGCCAGUGCCCGCCCGCAGCCCCGCCGCAGCGUUUAACCUUGACUUCUCCCUCCUCGCUUCUGGCACGGGAGGAAAGCCUGUCCAGAUGGGCGUCCUGAGUGUGACGACGUCCCCUCCCGCCCCCGCGCUCUCGCGCAGAUGUCGCACGCUGCCCUGGGUCCCGCCACACCGCCCACCAAGGCCGCGGGCCCUGCGCGCCCGGGGCAGGCGGGCACAUCCCGCACCCUCUCCGCCCGCCCGCCCCCGGCGCCCUUCGCAUUCCCUUCUUCGGCCCUGGCCCCUCGGACCGGAGCGCCCAGGCCAGCUCAGGGUGUUCCCGUGGGGGUCUCCGGAAACAAUGUAGAGACGGGGUUUCACCGUGUUAGCCAGAACGGUCUUGAUCUCCUGACCUCAUGAUCUGCCCGCCUCGGUCUCCCAAAGUGCUGGGAUUACAGGUAGAGGACCUUUGGAGAUGUGAAUGAAAACAGCUGUCUGAACAAGUGGUACCCUAACUAGCGCGGCUGAAUGAGUCCCUGGCUGCCUUUCUGGGAAGGGAAUGGCUUCCUGUGGUGAUGAACGAAGCCAGCCAAGUGCAGGUCGAGGCAUGCUCUCCACCCUCCCUAGAAGCUGUGCCACCAACGAAAGCUUUUCCCUGCACCUGUAGUAGAGGUUUGCUGAGCAUCUCACCCAGUGUCAGCUGAGUUGCAG
rnacentral:lncRNA from 1 species